rnacentral:pre_miRNA from 1 species
CCAAAACUUAGUCAUUUGUUAUUUUCUAAUUGGUUCUCAGUGUGUUAAAAUUUGAUAAGAACUAAUGAGAAAAUAACAAGUGACUAGUUUUGG